rnacentral:rRNA from 1 species
CCUACGGGGAGCAGCAGUGAGGAAUAUUGGACAAUGGGUGAAAGCCUGAUCCAGCCAUCCCGCGUGAAGGAUGACGGUCCUAUGGAUUGUAAACUUCUUUUGUACAGGGAUAAACCUACUCUCGUGAGGGUAGCUGAAGGUACUGUACGAAUAAGCACCGGCUAACUCCGUGCCAGCAGCCGCGGUAAUACGGAGGGUGCAAGCGUUAUCCGGAUUUAUUGGGUUUAAAGGGUCCGUAGGCGGACCUGUAAGUCAGUGGUGAAAUCUCAUAGCUUAACUAUGAAACUGCCAUUGAUACUGCAGGUCUUGAGUAAAUUUGAAGUGGCUGGAAUAAGUAGUGUAGCGGUGAAAUGCAUAGAUAUUACUUAGAACACCAAUUGCGAAGGCAGGUCACUAAGAUUUAACUGACGCUGAUGGACGAAAGCGUGGGUAGCGAACAGGAUUAGAUACCCUGGUAGUCCACGCCGUAAACGAUGCUAACUCGUUUUUGGAUUUUCGGAUUCAGAGACCAAGCGAAAGUGAUAAGUAGCCACAUGGGAGACG